UACAGAGGGGGCAAGCGUUGUUCGGAAUUACUGGGCGUAAAGGGCGCGUAGGCGGCGUGCUAAGUCGAACGUGAAAUCCCCGGGCUCAACCCGGGAACUGCGUCCGAGACUGGCAUGCUUGAAUCCGGGAGAGGGAUGCGGAAUUCCAGGUGUAGCGGUGAAAUGCUUAGAUAUCUGGAGGAACAUCGGUGGCGAAGGCGGCAUCCUGGACCGGUAUUGACGCUGAGGCGCGAAAGCCAGGGGAGCAAACGGG
rnacentral:rRNA from 1 species